rnacentral:rRNA from 1 species
CGAACGGGCAAGGAGCCGGGGUCGCCCGAUCGGACCCCGGACGUGAAGUCGACGAUGGUCGGUGGGCUGGUUUUGGUAAGCAGAACGGGCGAUUCGGGAUGAACCGGAAGCGGGGAGAAAAGGGCCCGAGAUUGCGUCGACGCGGAUCCCGAAAAGGGCGUCGAUCCGUCGCGACAGCGGGACGGUGGUCAUGGAAGUCGAAAUCCGCUAAGAAGCGUGUAAAAACGUACCCGCCCAACGGAUCGGCCCCGAAAAUUGAUGGCGCUCGAACGCAACCCUCGAACCCCGCCGACGGAGGCUAGGGGAGGCCCCGUCGAGUAGGCGGACGCGCGGGUCGCUUCGACGCUCUCGCGCGAGCGGGGGCGGAGCGGCCCGUGGUGCAGAUCUUGGUGGUAGUAGCGAUCACCCAGGCGAGAACCCUGAGGCCGAAGUGGAGAAGGGUUCUCGAGAACGGCACUCGCUCGAGAGUUAGUCGAUCCUAAGCUGCCGCGGCAGCCACGAAACGGUCGAUCGGGCGCGAGCCCGGCAGCCACGACCGGCA